GCACAGAGGAGCAUUACACUUACACAAACGUUCCCUGGAAAAUAUACCUCAGGAAGGAGGUCUUCUAUCCCAACGACACUUGGAACCAUCCUCUAGUGCUUGACCUCAUAUUCAAACAGAUUGUUAAUGACACAUUUACAGAGGCCUGUGUGCGCAUAACUAAAGAGGAGC